CUCUCUCAAGUCUCAUUCGAACCUAGAAGUCAAGAAGAUCUAGGAGGGAUGGUUUGUACGUGUUUUUUCACAAAAAUUAGUGGUUUUCCACAUCAUUGAGGUAUGGCAUCAAUCCGUGAAACCUCUACUGUUCAAGGAGUCCUUUCUAAAGGAUUUCAAAAAGGGUUUUCAAAAUCUACUUUCUUCUAUCUUUUAUUCUAAGCCUGGAUCUACUAGUAAAAGUGUUUUAAUGAUUCAAAUGUGUUUCUUCUAGUAUUCACUUAGGAUUUGUAUUGUCAAAACUCUAGUGAACUCAUAUUUAUGCAUAUUCAAAACUUUAGCUUAAGAAAUGGGUUAAAUGAACAUGUUUGUGUAGGGUAUGGACUUUGGUUUUCUUACGUUGUAAUUAUUAUUUAGAUACUGACCUAAGGUCUUAUUAUGAUGAAAUAUUGAGAAAUCAGUUAUAGGUAGUGAUGGCUUGGUAAAAUGUUGAGUUGCUUAUAUUGUAUAAUUCUUAUUAUAUAUUUGUCUUUAGUAGUAUGGUCCACCAUCUUAGUUGCGGUGUUUACUUCAUGUGUUUGGAUAUACAUGGUGUGUAUUGAGAGUAUGGAUUUGCAGGACGAAUGUGUAAAAUGAAGUGAUAAUGAAGAUUGUUCUUGUAUUUUGUAUUGUUGAGCUUCAAUUACAUGUUAUGCUUAAAUUAUGCCUAAAUGAAUUAUAUGAUUAAUUGAAGCAUGUAAUGUAUGUGAUUCGAUGAACUGAAGGUCUAAAGCAUACAUUGAAGUUAAAUGUAGAUGAAAUUAUGCUUUUGUGCAAGGCGUGCUCACAUGUAUACUCACUCACACAUGAAUGAAUGAAUGAAGCUAAGUAAAGUAAAAAGGGGAGUUUUUGGGUGAACACUCUUCGUGAGUUGAGAUGAAGUAUAUAGUAUCAACCCCGCAACAUCCUAUGAGCUUUCUAAGAAAGGCCGAAGAAUGAUUGACCUGCGUGAGGUUAGAUGUGGUUUUCAGUAGUUAUCUGUAACCUAUAGUAUAUAGUGUUUAGAAUCUGUGGGGGUCAUGUCUAGUACCGAGAGGAUAUGAAGAACAGGUUGUUAUAAUUCGUGAGUUUAGAUGUUGUAUUCCAAUAUAUCUCUUGUUAUGAGUACUCUUCGUUAGUAAAGAAUUUUUUACUUAGUAGCGAUCUCCUUAUCCCUUAACUAUGCACCCACAUAGGUAUAGCUAUUGUGCAAGCCAUGUCAAGGCUAAAAGAAUAGCUUACUUUAGUCAAGGAAGGAUCCCUCAUCCAAUAGGAGUUAAUAUCGAGAUUUCAUGCCUAUCUUUCAUUAUCUAUGUCAGUUAAGCUAAAUCCCACAAAUAAAUUAAAAGUUAAGCCUCGUAAAAGAGUUUUCUACUUAGGGUACACAGUGGUAUUGGAUGUUAUUUAUCGAUUGCACUAGGUAGGCAUUUUUAAAGAGGAGUCUUGGUAAAAAAAUAUGCUACUUAGGGUAGGUGGUUGAAUGGGAGGCUACCUAUCAAUUGAACUAAGUAGACCUUCCUAAAGUGGAUUGUUGGUGCCAAUCCUUCUAAAAGAUUGUAUUAUUUUAGUUAGGUGGUGGUAUGGGACGCCAUCUACUCAUUUCAGCAAGUAGGAUUCCAAAAGGGAAGUAUUGGUAUCUUAUUUCUUUGUUCUUCUAACGUCUUGUCAUUGAGUGGUGGCAUGUUCACCCGAGGUGAGUAAGCCAAAUAGGAGUACUUUUGAGGAUCACUUUGUUGUUUAUUGAAGGAGGUGUAUGUGCACUUCCUUAAUGUCAUACCUUGGUGAGUCUUAGGAUGGCCUUAUUAAGGGAUACUCCUACGGAAAUGAGUUCACUUCCUCUUGGAUUUGGUUGGGAAUUCAAUGUUUUAGUGUUGUAUUUGUUCACUGUAUAGUCAGCGUAGUUACUACAAAAAAUUAGAAGGCUUACUGUACGGUGUCUUUUUUUAUUAUAAUUAUUUAAAUCAUUUUCUUAGCGUUAAAUUAUGUUUCGUAUGUUAUUUUUUUUCUAAAUUCAUGAAAGCUUUAAUUAUUUGUCAUGAAUGCUUAUAUUUACUAAAAUGUCCCAUUGUACAUAUUUUUGUGUAUGCCAUACAUAGUACAUUAUUUGUACUAACCCUACACCUUUAAAUUCUCUAUAAGUAUAUGUUGUAGGAUUUUGAUGACUAGAAGGUGAAGCUUGGGAAUCUUAUCUCUCAAGCCAAAGUAUGUCCUCAUAUAUUCUAGGACAUAGUCCUAUUUUCUUAUUUUCAGUCAUUAAGACUUAUUAUGUAUUUCUUUCAAUGUAAAGGUAUCACGACCCGAAAGCAUCCCCUAGAAUCAAGGGUGAACCCUUAGAUAAUGACUGAGCUUACUUGACCCUUUGGGGUCUUGUAGAAGCCCUUAACUAUUCUUCAUUACAUAAGACAUGAAACAUAGUGUGGAAUUAAAACAUUUUAUGAUAUUUAAUAUAGAAAGGAUAUAUUUCAUAAAUACUUAAAGAACCUCAUCGGAACAAUCAAAAUUAUGACACGAAAAAAAAUCAUAGGGACACGACCCUUUAAAUUAAAAGAAAAUACAUAAUAAGUCUUUAAAUAAAAAAACAAAGAAAAGGACUAUGCCCUCUAAUUUAUGAGGACAUACAUUGCCUUGAGAGAAAAACUAGCAAUAUUUACCUUCUAGCCUUCAUCCUUGCUUCAGGCCUAUACUUAUAUAAUAUAGAAAAGUAUGGGGUUAGAAUAAAUAAUGUACUAAAGUAUGGGGUUAGUACAAAUAAUGUACUAAGUAUGGCAUAUGCAAAAAAAUGUAAAAAGAAACGUUUUAGUAAAAAUACAUUUUCAUGACAAUUAAGUAACAAAAUCAUGAAUACAGAAUCAAAACAACAUAAGAAACAUCAUCAAACACAUAGAGAAGGAUUUACAUAAUUUUAAGCAAAAGAAGAACUUUAGUUAAACACACCAAAUAUUACGGUGAACUAGCUAGCAGUUACAGUGAAUUCCCUUUAACAUUACAGUCACUAAAAUGACUCUAAAGAAGUCAGCUUUCUAAGUAUUGAAAAUGAAAAAGUAAGCGUCAUUUCUGUCGGAGUUUCCCUAUUUAUUAAGGUCAUCAUAAGACUCACUAAGGUGAGACAUGCAGGAAGUACGGAUAUGCCUCCUUCAAUUCCCAAUAAAACAAUCCUCCAGACUACCUCCCUUUUGGCAUACUCACCUCGGGAGAAUAAGCACCCACGCAAUGGCAAUACAAUAAUAGAGUACCUACCAACACACCAUGAGUUCCCUUUCGCAAUGCCUACUUUGUGCAAUGAGUAGAUUAUGUCCCAUACCACUACCUACCAUAAGUAAUACACUCUUUUAGAAGACUUGGCACCAAGACACCCCUUUCGGAAGAUCCUACCAAAUGCAAUGGAUAGAUAGUAUCUAAUACCACCACCUACCUUAAGUUAUAUGUUCUUUUAGGAGACUUAGUUCAUUCAAUUAAAAUAUGACUCACGAAGACUCCCAUUUGGGAAUUCCUACCUAGUGCAAUGGAUAAAUAACAUCGCAAUCCCCAACCUACAGUAAGUAGAAAAAUCAUUUAGAAGACAUAGCACAUUCAUUACUUUUGUGGGAGUUAUCUUAACCGACAUAGACCAUGAGAGCUAGACAUGGAAUCCCAAUAUUAACACCUAAUAGAAAAGAGAUCCUCAUUUGCCUAGAAUGAUGUCAUUCUCUUAGAUUUUACAUAGCUUGCCCAAUAGCUACACCGAUGCGGGCUCAUAGUUAAGGGAUAAAGAUAUUACUAAUAAGUUACUCAUUCUCUACUUACGAUGAGUUCUCAACUCAAGACGUUCAUUAUAGUACAAAAUCUCAACUCACAAAAUGUAGACACCUUUUCUUCAUAUACUUCCGGUGCUAGGAAUAACUUCCCAAGGAUUCUUAACAUUAUAAACUAUAGAUAAAGGAUACCUAGUAAACACCACAUCUACACUCACGAAAUGUAUUCAUCCUCCAACCUAUCUUAGAAAGCUCAUACGAUGUAGUGGGGUUGCUACUAAACACUUCAUCUGAACUCAUGAAGAAUCUUCACCCCAAAACUCCCUUUUAGGACAUAACUUAGCUUCAUUCAUUCAUUCAAGUGUGAGUGUGUGCGUAGAUGUGAGCACACCUUGCACAUAAGCAUCAUUUUAUUUACAUUUAAUUUCUAUAAAUACUUAGUACUUCAUUCAUCACAUCACACACUUUACAUGGUUCACAUAAUCAAUAAAAGUCUUCUACACAUAAUCCAUAGAAUACUUUUCAUAACAAGAUUUAUCAAAAAAUAAACAAGAAUAACUUCUCUUAACCACACUCUCUAUCCUACUUCACAUAAUAGCUUCAUAAGGCACAUUUACUAAGAAUAUAAUUAUUAUGAUCUUACUUCACAUAACAAGCCAUCAUGGACUCAUUAACAAUAAUAAUUAACUUCACAUUCAUACAAUUCAAAUAAACACCGCAACCAAGAAGGUGAACAAUACCACUAUAAAGCAUUUCAAUAUUAAAGCUUAAAAAACAUAAACAACAUAACCUUUAAUCUAAAAUAUCAGAACCUACAACAUUUUACUCAAUAUUUCAUCAUUUCCCUUUGUGCAGUAGCUAAACAACAACACCAACAAUAAGAAACCAAAGCUCAAAGAGUACCAAUUCAUGCUCAUCUAACCCAUUCAUGAGCCAAUAUUUUAUGAAAAGCUUUAUAAUAAUUUCAUUGAUGUUUAAUCCUUAAAAUCAUAAAAUUACAUUAGGAAAAUCAUUAUUAAGUCAUUCAAAACGUUUUCAUGCAUGUCCCAUACUUAGAGUAAGACAUAUAAGAAACUAGUGUUGGAAACCCUUUUUUAAAAAAUUCAUUAAAAGGGACUCCUUUAAUUAAAAAUAGUUCAAGGAUUGAUAAUAUACCUCACAUUGAAAAACUACAAUAAUUUUUAUGAACUAAGGACAACCAAGAGCCCUAUUAGUUCCUUUUUGACUUCUUCUUUCCAUGAGAGUUGAGAGAGUCUACUAAGGGAGAGGGGUUUUGGGUUUUAGGAAGAGAAGUAUAAAAUUAGGUCUUAGGGUUUGAAAAACAUUAAAAUAUAUAAUAAAAAAUAAAAUAAACUUCCUAGGGUCUUAUAAUACCUGGGGUGAAGUUACAAAAACUCAAGCCAUGACAGAAUUUUCAGCAGCUUUUGGACAGCACCAUCUAAGGUUUUCACUUAACGGACCAUUUUUCCUUCAACAGACUGUUGGUGGGGUUUCCUGAGUUGAUAAAUAAAUCCAUUUGGAUCUUGUACAACCUAAAUUUUUGGUUAAAUCAAUGCAUCAAGACGACAGGCCGUUGUUUACCUAGUGGCUAUCGUUAUGUCUCAUUGGUGGACACUGUCUAGGAAGUUUUGGGUUCAAGUCUUCGGCCUUUCUCUAGGGCCCCUUGUGGGUCCUAGUUGGGGUAUUUCCCGGAUGAUAAAUGCCUAAAAUAAGUUAUCUACGUCAGAGGAAUAUCCCACAUCAAUUUCAAUUAAAACAAAUAUGUGAAACUCAAUCAAACACCUCAAAACAAACAAGUGCUAUCUAAGGCACACCUUCCGAAUGUCAUGGACGUUCUCAGACGUUUGACUUCCAAACCUAACAAAAAUCCACAAAAUUACCAAGAAAAUCAACAUAACUCAUUUUAACUUAAAAUAACUCAAUAAAGAAUCAUGAAGCUGUAGUUUACCUUAGUUCCUUUUAGGGGGUUACAUUCCUUCUCACAUAGAAAAACAUUUAUUCUCGAAUGACACUAAAAGUUAAAGAAAAACAAGGACUAACUUAUUAUAAAAUAACACAUAAAGGUUAUGUUAAAUUUUUAUAAAUCGUUUUAUGUACUAAUCAAUUUUACGUGAUGAAAAUGAAGGUCGUUAAGUUAAUAUUCUCAUAAGUUUAGAUUAAGAUGCUCUUUAUUGGGUUUAUCCAAAGUGGGGGAUAGUGAUUGAGUAUUAAGGUUGUAGAUAUUGUCUACCAUGUCCUUAUGUUCUUACUUGAACUUUUAUCUAAUGAAUUUUUAGUAAGAUUGAUCGAGAAUAAAGUGUUGCAUUAAAUUAUGAAUUUCAUGACCUUAUAUGUUUGGUAUGCAUUGACUGACAUUACCUUAAAUAUAUUGUGAAGAUUCCAAGGUGCAUGGAUGAAAUGUUUUGAUAAUAUCCAUGUUUUGUCAUGUUGAAUUGCAUCUUGAUAUAUUAAUUGUGCACUUGACUUCAUGGUAAAAGAUAAGAAACAUGGUAAUAGUCACUUGUGAGGUGAAAUGUUUGGACUUAUAAUGAAAAGUUUAGUUACUUUAAAAUGAAAUAUGUUCAAUGUAUUGAAAAUUUAUGUGACCUGUAUGGUUUCAGAUGCAAAUAUUGUAGGCUCACUCUUACAAGAUCAAAGCAUGUUUAGCUAACUGUUAAUGUGUGUGCCUAUGAUUUGUAAUGCUCUUCCCGAAUGAUUCUUACUGUGUAGGUUAGUUCUAUGUUAGAAAUUGAAAUUUUGUGAAAUUAAUUCCUAAUUGUUGUGAUGUACUUGGUGUGACCUACCAUUUAGACUUCACUUGGAAGAAGAAAUGAUCAUGCGUUGGUUUAAAAGAUGAAAAUUUUUCAUUUUUAUAGGAAAUUAACCUUGUACUUUGCUUAGGUGUGAACUCAUGAUACCUGCAUGUUUGUUAAAAAAAAGGACAUUCCUCCAUGGAUACUAACAAACAUGUUAUGGUUGAGUAUGACCUUCAUGGCACUAGAUCUAACUAAUCAAGAUCUUUGAUGACUCAAUUAACUUAAGUCGAUGUGUAUUGAUGUAUUAGUGCCUUAUUGCCUGUUGAUGGUUGUCGAAAUCUGAUUAAGUGUGACAUAAUGAAUAGUUUCAAGAUCAGAUCUUAAUGAACUGAGAUUGAAUGACCACGUUAUGUUUAGGAGAAGGAUGUUCCUCUUAUGACCAUGAUAGGAGCCUUUGUGUUUGAUGCAUUAAAGAGUGAGUGAGUAAUGGUUUUUAUAGUUUGAUUUAAUUGAAUCCUAAAAUUAUUUGAAGAUUUUAUAAAUGUUAUGAACUUCUCGAUGAUGCAUUUAUGUCCUUGUUGUUAUUAAAGUAUUCCACGUCUCAUUCAAGGACGAAUGUUCACAAGUGGGGUAUAUUGUUUGACCCCCAAAAUAGUUAGGGUGUGUAGAUACUAACAUAUUUUUCCUAUGGUUUUACAUUGUUAAAAUGACUUAUAAUUUUGUUUAGAGACAGUGUAAAAUCUGAGGUGAUUUGCAAGUCAAACGUCAAGGGACUACAAAAACAUUCUAUGACUAGUCACCUAUGUUCCUUAUGAGUCUAUGCAUCCUUAUAUAUUGUAUGUCAUGAGAUUAUGAAGACAUAAAAUAAUUUAAAAUUAUAUUUAAUAGUAGUAUAUGGAUUUUCGUGAAGUUUGGAGGCCAAACAACCAAGAACGUCCAAGGCAUUUUAAAGAUAGCCCUUGAGACGCUCAAGUGUGUAUAGAUGGGGGCCUAGCCUGUUUUGAUGAGUUGCGAGUAUUGGUUUUAUGUAAAACUCAUGUGAAAGGUCUAAAAAUUGUAAAUAGUUGUAUUUACGUUUGAAAUGUAUGGGUACGACUUAUAAUGGGCCCCACAAAAGGCCCCACAAGAAAUACCCAUGGUUGGUUGAGACAGUUCCUUGGAAGUAUCAAUCGGUAGACCAAACGACACCAAGUUGGUCAACCAACGUCCUGUAGGUGAGGUAUCAUUUAUGGACACAUAGCUUUGUUAGGUCUCACACCAAAUAUUGGCUAAGUACCAAUUUACGGAAGACAAAGGAUAACUAAUUGAUUGACCAACGACUAGUCGAUGGGUUCCGUCGACGGUUGUAAGCAACUAGUGCAUUGCCACUGUUUUAUUCAAGGGGUGAAUGGUAAAUUUACCCAACAUCGUAAAGUGACCAUAAUUGAUUAAUUUACCUAUAUAUUGGUGUAUAUAAAGUAUCAUACACGUGAUCACCCAAUUCCUAAUCUUUUCGUACGAAAUUGAACCCUUCCCUCCUAAAAUAUUCUAUCUUGAAACCUCUAUUAUUGUUAAAGCUCAAUAAAUCUUGGAGCCGGGAUUUACAUUAUUUCUUCACCAAGUUAUAUAGGUCUUCAUGUAGAUAAAGGUAUUGUGAUCCUACAUCUCUAAGUAACAUUUUUCUUGGACAGUUAAUCUAAGUGUUUUCAGACUAAGCUUCAUGAUCAAAGUUCUUCUUCUUCAAUCUAUCCAUAGGAUCCUUCUAAAAACGUUUUUAAUGAUUAAUUAAUGAUAAAUUGAUGUUAAUGUAUUGUUUUUAACGUGAUUUGAGUACUAAAUAUUGUAUAGCUUGUAUGUGACUUUUAUUGUAUUGAUGGUCCAUGUCCAAUUGUUAUACUCAUGUUAGAUGGUUAUGAGAUGAGACAUCUGGUUUUAUGACCAUGUUAUAUUAUAUAUAUGUGUGUGUGUGUGUGUGCAAUAAAAGUAGAAGACUAUGUAAUCUUCUUAUACAAAGGGUGUUUGUAUCCAUGAUAUGAAUAUAUGAUGUGUGUGUGAAAGGUCUAUGUAAAAAACAAGGUAGAUAUAAAAAAGCAUUAAAUUUUACACAUUUUUAACCUAUGAAUGUAAUAUUGUUAUCUAAGAGGCUAGUCUAAUUCCUCUUUGACAACGCUGAAGUUGGUUACGCCUAGGGGGUGCUCCAUAGAUGUGACAACAUCACAAUAUAGAAAGAAGCCCUUGGUAACCUCCGGUAGAGUCAUUAACAGAGUGGUCGUAAGACUCACUUUCAUUUGUUGGAAUCUUCUCUCAUAUUCCUCCAACCACUCAAAUUUCAUACUCUUUUUGGUUAAUAUAGUAUAAGGACAAGAAAUGGAUGCAAAACCAUUGACAAAUCUCCUAUAGUAUCCCGCUAGACCCUAGAAACUCCUAAUGUUAGUUGGAGUCAAUGGCCUAGGAUAUUUUUUUACUUCCUUGGUUUUCCUUCGGUCAACCUAAAGUCCAUAACUACAGAUGGUAUAACGAAAAAAUGCCACCGACCUCAAAAAAACUCACUUUUUCUAUACUUAGCAUAUAUUUAGUGUUUUAUAAGCUCUUGUAACACCACCCUAAAAUAAUCACCCUUAUUUUUCAAAAAUACCAAGAUAUCAUCAAUGAAUACAACGACAAAUUAAUUUUAGGUAACUUCGAAACACACUAAUAAUUAGGUAAUAGUAGUUGUCGGGCGAUUAAUGAGACCAAAUGACAUUACUAAGGUGAUACCCCGAUAUCAAGUCAAUCAUAUUAAAGUUGCUUUCCCCUUGGCUCUGAUAAAAUAAGUUGUCAAUCCGAGGGAGAGGAUACUUGUUCUCAAUAUGAUUUUGUUGAGUUGGUAAUAAUGAAUGCACAUUCUAAGGGACCAAUCCUCUUUCUUUACAAACAAUACUGGAGCUCCCCAGAGGGAAAUACUAGAUCUAAUGAAGUCUUUCUCUAGUAAGUCCUUGAGUUGAGUCUUUAACGCUUUCGAUUUUGCUGUAGCCAUCCGAUAAGGUCAAAUUGAAAUGGGGUUGAUAUCUGGUAGCAAGUCAAUACAAAAAUAAUUUCCAAUUCGGGAGGGAUUGCGGGAAAAUUAUUAGGAAAGACCACUGGAAAUUCCCUCACUACGGGACCAUCUUAAUGGGAGGAUUUUAAGAAUCUAAAUCUUUGAUUCUUAAAAUAUUGUGAAAACACCCUUUAGAGAUCAUCUUGCAAGCCUUCAAAAAAGAAAUGAAACGACAUAUAGGAAUUGAAUUUCGCCCCUUCAACUCUAAAAAGGGUUAAUUAGAAAAUUGAAUUUGACGACUCUUAUUCUACAAUCUAUGCUAGCAAAAACAUUAUGCAACCAAUACAUUCUCAAAAUGACAUCAAAAUAUACUAUCUCAAGGUAUACUAAUUCAACAUGAGUAACUCUAUUGGACAACAUUAUAGGAUAAUUUCUAUAUAACAACUUUGAAACUACAAACUCACACACCUUGUGGACACCAUAAAAGGUUCAUUUAGAAUAUCAACUAAAAUAUCAAACUUUCUAGAUAUCAAAGGAGUAGUAGAAGAUAAUCUAUCAUCCAGAUAAUGUAAAGAAUAAAAAUCAAGUACGAAGACUUAUAACAUACCAGUCACAACAUAGGGAGAACUCUCUUUUUCACCCUCAGAGCGAAGUUCAUAAAACUUAUUAUUCUUUGUAGCAUCCAUAUUCGAUACACUGGCUUUAGCUUGCCCUCUACAUAUGUCUUACCCCUUCAAAUUAGUGCAAUCUGUAAACUUUUGGCCACUGUUUCCACACCAAAAACAAAUGUCCAUUCCAACAAGGCAAUUACCAUUAUUCUUCGAGAGACUUUCCACAAGUUGGCUUCUAUCUUUGUCAAAUACUACCUCUUCCCUUUUGAGACAUAGGGUUUUACAUCCUCUAAUUAUUAGCCUUGACAAAUUUGUAAGGAUUUUGACUAUAAAACCUCUUCUUGAACCAAGGAUUGUCUUGAAGGUCAAGCAUAUUCUUCGAAGAUACGCCUUCAUAAGGAUUGAUCCUCUUCGCCUACAUAUUCUUCGUUCAUAGACUACUCUCGUACACUUGUUGUUCAUAAAUAAUUAGUAUAGAGAUGUUCAUAUAAUCAUGAAUCAGAUCUGAGCAACAUUAUUCAACAUACUAGGAAAAUUUCUCGUCUUAUCCCUUGGGUUUAUAACCAAGGAUGGAGCAUACUUGGACAAUUUAGUCUUCUUCAACGAAUAGUAAAGUACACCUCAUACCUCCUUAAUGAAGGUUGAUAAAUUACUUAACCUUACAUUUCUUCAAAUCUCUAUGAUAGAAAUGUCCAAGGAAAUAUAUGAUGAAGAUCUCCCAAGUCAUUAGUCCAUCUUUUAGUCUUAUGAUAGCUCCAUUUGAGCCACAUCUUUGAAUUGGUAGUCUGCCAAACUAGCCUUUUCAAUUGAUGUCACACCCAUAGAAUAGAUAAUAUUAUAUACCUCAUCAACGAAAUCUUGAGGGUCUUUAUUCCAUUUUGAACCAAAGAACGUAGGUGGGUUCAUUCUAGUAAAGUCUCUCAAAGGAGAGACCAUAGUACUAGCAUUUUAAGGCACUCGAUGUUCAAUUUCACUAGUCACUUGGGCGAUCAUGGUUUGGUCUUGAGAAGUGAUGGAAUUAGCUUGUGAGGUCGUCGCUUGGGCCAAAUUGAGAAAAAAGACGCCCUUAUCACUCCUUCUUUCAUAGGUUGGUCACAAACCAGAACUUAAUCACCUAUAGACACUUCUUCAAAUUGAGGCACAUUGUUGUCUUCUGGAGGAUCUUGGAUGUCAUAACAUCCUACAUUAGCAAUGCCUUCAUUGACCCAUCAUGCUGCUGCUAUUCAUUAUUCAUUCCUAUUAAUAUGAUAAAAGAUUUAAAUGAAAUCACAUAACAAGACUCUAGAGGCAUAAUUUAGAUGUACAAGGAGAGGAGCGUUUGUAAGCAUCACAUAAUCUCUAGUUCAUAAGUGUGGCUGUCUUCAAUAUUAUGAAUAAGUAUUUACAAAGACGUUGUUUAAUGAGACAUCGUUUCUUGUGAUAUUAAACCUCAUGAUGUGAUACAAUGUUUGUCACAUCCGGGGAGCACCGUAUAGACAUAACUUACAUGGUCAUCCUUGGAGAGAACUAAGACUAUGUUCUUUAAUACGUUAAAAAAGCGGAAAAUUUAAAAACUUUUCAUUUACUUCAUUGAGGUUUACUUAUACCUCUCCCUUAGAUAUAAUAUAUUGUUAUCGCGUAUACAUAGACCCUUCGUAUAAAAUGAUUAUAUAGUUUUCUACUAUUCCGUCACACACACACACACAUGCACACCCACACACACACAUAUAUAUAUAUGAUGCAUAACAUCGUAUUAAAAAGGAUGUCUCAUAUUAAAAUCAUCUAAAUGGAUCAAAUAAACAAGGGCAUAAGCAAUGAUAGAGAUGUAGAAGUACAACUUAGGGCUUACAAAAAUAUCUUGAAACAACUUGAAGAAGUUCCAUGACAUAGACUAGAAUUCACAGAUUAAGUAAUGAUUUAAAUAAUAUUUAAAGACCUAUAUUACUGUAUUAAACUCAAUUAGAAAACGUUAGAGCGUAAACGACAAACAAACAUCUUGACAUCUGGAAACUAGAUAAAUUGAACUAGUAGACGUCCGUAGGUUUGGUUAAGGUUUUUGAGUUUCAAAUGAAGUAUAGAACUUGUAAAAAGACUUUAAAUAGGUAAAAUAUUGUAUAAAGGGUUCAAUUGUUCAGUAAAUAAUCGCCAAGGAGCAGCCAAAAGGUGAUUGAGGAGGAUCCAAACAUUGUCGAGCAAGCUGCUACCGGAAUCAAAUAUAUGACCCUCCUAAACCUUCACCAAUCAUAGGGACGUCUUCUAUUUCAAUUUCGCUAGUUUCCUGACAUGAAGAACUUUCUUUGAUGUUAUGGCUCCAAUGUCUCUCAAACAAGAUAUAUACACAUAUUUAGGUCUAACACCAUCAUUAUUCAAUAUAUGAUGCUCUAUUAGAGUUCAUGCAAAUUACAGGGGGUACAAAUAGGAAAUAAUCGACAUAGAGUAAUCUAUCUAGGCAUUGAAUUCAUUCAUAACCUACUCAGAUGGAGUGUGUUAUACUUGCCAGUGAUUUCUCUAGGACACAACCCAUGUAGGAACAUAUUUAAGGAACAUCAUGGGUUAUUCUGUACUCUAGUUUAAAUUUAAGUAGAUUCACUCCCCAAUCAUACUCACUGGUUGCUAGCCUUAAUUCUCAUAGAGUAAUUCAAUCACACAAGACAUAUGAUAUGGAAAUACUCCUACCCUUAAUUCACAAUAAUGACUUUACCAAAGAUGUGACCUUUAGGGGAUUCCACUCAAUGGUUAAUAAGAUUGCUUACUGAAUUUCAUAAGGAUGGUUUCAUGUCGUUCAAGGCAACCUACACCUAAGUCUGUCAUUCACUGAAGAAUGAUUCCAUUACGGGUUUAAACUUCAAGAAUAUGUCAACAUUCUUAUAGUUUGAAGGUUCAAAGUUAAUAAACCUCUUAACACUAUCAAAGAUCAUAUUGCAACUAUACAUGACAAAGGUACAUCAAUCUUACUAUGUAAAAAAUUCAUAAUAACAUUCUUCAUGUAUUAAUUACAAGGACAUAGGUCUGCCAAACUUGACACAUUCAUCUUCAUUUUAUUGUAUGUAGAAUAGAAUUAAAGUAGCAAAGAGGGAGACCUAAGCCUACUAUAAGUCACCCUAUUCACUGAUAUAUAAAGAUCAACAUAUUCCAUGAUAAGACUCAUAUAGUCAAUUAGGAAGCAUUAUACUUCAACAUCAACACUAACACAUAAGGACAACACCAUAGUCCAUCAUCAAUUUAGAGAACACAUUAUUUCACCAUACAUAAUUACUUCGACAUAAUCAUACUUAACAUUGAUCAACCACGCAAGCUAUCAUAACAUAAUAUCAUUGUAUAUAUAUUAAUGACGACCAGACUAUGUUCAAUACAAUCCAUAAAAUAAUAUAAACAAUUCCAUAUUGAUCAUAAUCAUAACACAUAGGCACUGCAACUAUAAUUUGACCAUACCAACCAACACAAUUCAAUGUUUGACCAUACCAACCAACACAAUUCAAUGUAUAUACUAUACUUUUUAUAGAGGAUUAGGGCAAGUUUUCCUAAUCCAUCACCAAGACCAACAAUCCUUAGACAUUGCAACCAAUUCAAUACAGAAGGAUCUUAUAUCAUCAACAGAAACCAAUAAUAAUUUAUAAAAUUUAUCUAUCAAGAUAUCACAUCCUAUAUACAAUUAUAUAAUGAUCUUUACAUAAUUCAAUAUCCCAAAGUAAUCUACAUAAUAUUUCAAUAAAAAAUAAGCGUUGCUAAAAUCAUACAUAUUGGAGCCAAAACUCGAAAUACAUUAUUUGCAUAGGGUCAUAAGAAUUUUGAUCUAAAAUCAUUCUAUUAAUAUUAAUUGAAUCAUAAAUCAUUGAUUCAAAUCUUCUUAUUUAAGAAACCAUGUCUAGAAUUCAAAAUAGAAGAUUUCAUGUUUUUUGAUCAUCUUUAAAACCAUUUGAAAUUAGCUCCUUAAAGAGAAGAGGAUUCCAGGUUCAAACACCACACCUAAAUUGAAGAAAAUCCCACGAAAUUGAUUGAGAAAAUAUUGUAAAACCUUCUUUCUUCCGUGGAGCAUCAAUUAUUCAACAAUGGAGUUUUGAAAAGAUAGAAUGGAGAGCUAUUGUUUUGAGUUGAAGUUUUUCCUUUUAAAGGUGUGUUUUGGGGUUUAAUAAUGUUCAAUAAACUUCAAUAAAUGAUACAUGAAGUAACCAAAAGACCAUGUACUUAUUGGACAUUUUAAUCAAUUCAAAUUUUGCCUAAAAACAAUGCGACCAAAUCUGGUAGGUCACUACGCACCGCUGAGGCAAUUUCAAUUCUUGAUUCUUUACAAUAUUGGGACAAAUUGGUUCUUGAUGGCCCAACGUCACCGGGCAAACAUUUUUUUUACGCGUAUCUUGAGCGACGAGAAGCCACUAUCGAUUCUUGGCUUGCUCAGCAGCUUCCUUGGCCUAUGCUUGGGUCCUCCUUAGGGAUCCUUAGGGUGGACCUCGUCAUAUAUUUGUCUAAAUUUUUUACCCUAUAAUGACCUUGUAGGUACAAGGGUCAUCCCCACUUAUAUUAUACUACAAAAAAUUAUUUAAAUAAGUACAACAUAAAAUGAAUAUCAAGAACAUCUAGAGUAUAUCUUUCGAACGCCUUGGACGUUGGACUUGAAAACAAUUCUAAACUUUAUACACUACCUAUUUACACUCUAGUUAAAAACUGUAUUACUUUAAGACUUCAUGAAACACAUGGUAGGCUCUAGUUUAACCAAGUUCAUUUUUAGGGGUGUUACACUUACAUGGUGUUUGCUUAGAUUUAAUAGUGACUACAAUUGCAUUUCAUGACUUGAACUACUCAAGAUUAUAGUUCCUUGUAAGUUAGAAAUUGUUCUACUAGAUACUCCUAAAAUCAAAUAGCUUAAGAUAACAUCAAGACAUACUUAGCUUUGGUAGUAUUAGGGGAUACUACAUUAACCUUGCACUAGUGUACUUUAACGUAGCUUGUGAUGUAGUUCAUUUGAGUACGAAGGACAAUGAUUUUAGUAUGAUAUCAUAUAUAGUUUUAGGAUGCUUUGUUACGACUAUGAAAUUCAUGUUAUGCUGAUGCUUUUAUCUCUUAUGAUUGUCUAUUGUUCACUAUCCCUUUGAGAUAUAUUAUGUUGGAAUGUUAAUUUCCAUACUUAGUUCAAUUUCAAUUACUGCAUGCUUUUGCCUACAUUCAAGUCAAAUAUAGGGGCUUGAGAAUAUUUAAAUCUUUAAGCAAAAGAGUUUCCAAGGCAAGGAUUGUCAAAAAUUGAAGAUUGAUAAGUCCUCAUAGAAUUUUAGGACACAAUCACUAUGAGUCCUCACCCAAGAUAUUUGUAAUGAUGUUUUCAUAGAUUGUUUUGAGACAUACAUUAAAAAUUCUAUGAUUGAUUCCGCUAGUUGUUUUGAACAAAAAGUGUUUUAUUCCACUCUACUUUUUGUAUAUAAGCAAUGAAUGAUGUAUAAGGACUUGUACAUGACUUCAGAGAGGUGAGUACAGCGUGUGGUAAAUCAAGCAUUCUCUAGGGUAUACUUGCACAUCGUGACACAUGAUGAAUAGAAUACCGGGAGCCAUGAGAUUCUUUAUGAAUCUUUCUUGUCAAAUCAUCAACAUUCGGUACAUGUAACCUUCCUUGGUACCUAAUAACACAAUCCCCCUCAAAGAAAAGACUCACUGACAUUUCAUAGAACCGAUUCAUUUAACUCCAUCAAUAGAGGAUCAAGGUUUUUCUUGGACUUCACCUCAUCAACUAGAGACGACUCGGAGUAUUGAUUAUCCAUGAAAACCCAUUGUGGAGAUCUUUUACCUGAAGACCCAACCAUCCUAACCUAUGAAUAUCCUUCACAAGUUCCUUUUUACCCUUUUCAACACAAACCACACUACCCCUGAUGUUUUGACAUCUGCAACAACAUUGGAUUUGUCAGUGUCAUAGAGGAGACUCAUGUCAUAGUCAUUAAAGAGUUCUAACAACAUUCUUUGUCUGAGGUUUCACUAUUUUUGGUUGAAGACAUAUUUAAUAAUUAUGUUCGGUAACACAUUUACAUGCACCUCACAUAGGUAGAGUCUCCAUCACUACCCGAAUUCUAGAAUCCGAAUCAGAACCGACGUCGUUGACCUCUCAGAGGUCACACACAAGCCUCAUCUUGCAUUCGUAACAUAAAUAAGGAUAAUUUUAGCUUAAAAUUCAUAAAACUUUUAAGCGUAUGAAGUAUAUAUAGACAUUACAUUGCAUAGUUAUUUGAUGAAUACAUUAUAUACUUAGCUCAUCAUAAAUGUAACAGCCAUCUAUCAUAAGAUUCGAUUUGAAAUAUAAUAAAAAUAUAUCAUAAAUACAUUUUCCAAACAGGACCAUAAUACGAAAGAUUCGAAAUGAAUGUACGAAAGAAACGCUAAGGAAAACAUAUACUAGAUUUGUGUAAAAUUAAGGCUAGACUAAAACUGUAGCAUCCUCAAUUUGUCCCUUAACAUGCAUCUAUAAAAUAGUAAAUAGUUGGGGUCAGUAUACAACUUGUACUAAGUAUGAGUGUAUGCACACAUACACUGAAGGAUACGCAUGAUCAAAGAAAGCUUUUCCUAAAGAACAUGCUAUUUCUUGAAAGCCUACUAACUAGACAAAUCGUUUUCUAUAUGAUGGAAAAAUAUUAGUAUGAUCCACAUAAGUUUAGAACAACUCGAGCAAAGAUUUGGAAUUUUGAUAGUCAAAAACUCGAGAGCCCUAUUUUUGACAGUUAAAUUAUAUUUCGGUCUGUUUCUUCUUCUUGUUGUGUCGGUCAAUGAUAUUCUCUAAUCUUAUGUUUUACUUACAAGUGCAAUGGUUCAUUGUAGUCCCAUACAUACAAUGAAUCAAGUUGGAAAUUCACAACACUAAGGUAUGAUUUGGCCACUCUACUUUAUUUCCUUUGGGUAUGAUUAUAUAUAUAUAUGCCAAUAUUUAUUGGCUAUUCCCAUUCUUUAUUUAAUUCAUAAUCUAUUAUCCAUUAUUGGCUACCUUACUUACAAGAUAAAUAUUUUAUUAUUAAAUUGGGUAUGAAUGUAUUCAUAAGUAAAUCUUUAUUGGGUCUGCCCAUUAAUCAGUUAGUAAUCCUGUUUAUAUAGAAUGAUGCAUCUGUUGGUACUCCAACACAAGACUUAGUUUAUUUUUCAGUCUUUUCCCUCUUCUUGUUGUGUAGUUCAAUAUUUAUUUGGAUCCUAUGUUUUACUUAAAAGUGCAAUAAUUCAUUGAAGUCCCAUACCCACAAUAAAUCAAUUAAGUAAUCCAUGGACUAAGGAAUGAUUUCCCUUCCUUAUAGUGAGUCAUUCUUUACACUAUAUAUUCAUUACCUUUCAUAAGCAAUUCUCUAUUGAUCAUUCCAUUGAUUUACCUACUUUCAGGUUUUAUAUAUUAUAAAUUUCAUAUACACUAGACAUUGGAAUCGUUUGAUUUAACAUUAAGACAUCUCAUGUGAGGGCCCAACAUAUGGGACCUCAACCCGAGGGACUUCAUUACAAACACAAAGUCUGCUUCAUUUAUUCAUUCGUACUUCAUAUUAUUCAAUGUAUUAAUUCGUAGGCUGAUGUAAACACCAGCUAUACCUAGGAUUAAUUGAAGGACUCUCAUCAGUAUUAUGAAGUGUAAUUACCAAUAAUGGCCUAAUAUCAUUACUUGAAUCUGAUUUCACCUUCUGAUUAUCUUGGACAAACACAUUCGGUAUUGUUCAAUUCAUUAUCUUUAAUACUUUGAGGCUGGACUCAUUAUUUCUUUGGAAACAUUAUCCUUAACCAACAUAGAUGAUGUGAGCAUCAUGAAAUCCAAUGUCUGGACCACACCGAGAAGAGGUGGAAUCACUAGCCAAUGUGACCCAAAACAUGCUAACGUACAUGGGAAUUGAACAUCACCAAGUCCCUAUAUUUGCUGUAUAUGUUUGAAGACUAGGAGAUAUAAGGAGACCCAUACCCGCCAUGCCGGAAAGUCUCAUCUCAUGAGAGUUACGUGAACCUCUGCCCUUCCCAAAAAAAGGCAUCACCACUCAUAUCUAGCCUAUAAGUGCUGCACAUAAAGUUCCAUUACAUUCAACUCAUACGUCAUGGAAGCAGGCUUCUAGUAUGAGGACAUCAUAUAUCAAUAUAUGAAAUCUCAUCUCAUAAUUAGUAUUGAUUAUACAUUAAAAUCAAUACUUUUUUAGAGUGUUCAUUGAGAGUGGUCUCUUCUUUAGCUUAACACUCUCAUAGGUGAUUACGUUUUAAUAACAUUAACUCAGGCACAUUUGAGAUUUAUCUCAUCUUUGGCAUUAGUCUCUUAUCAUGCUUUCACCACAUUAUUUAACAUUAGAUCAUUUGCUUUUAAUAAUUACUCAGUCCUUUACGUGAAUGUUCAUUGCUCCUUCAUCUUUUAGUGUUGACUCAAGCAUUAUUGAGGCUUGCCUCUAGAUUGAGAUUUACAUACAAUAUUGUUGACUUGUCAUACUUACUUUAAAUUUAUGAUUGUUAAUUUUCCUUACAUAUCAUUAUUUGGUGUUAAUUACACUGGUUCACACCUUCUAACACAUUCAUACAUGAGUAUUCUUUUCAUAUAGCAGCUUAGAUGUAAGUGAGACUUUUCUCACUUCCUUUAACACCCAAUUCUUGUCACUUAUAUACUUUAGAUCCCUUUAAUUAUGUUAAAACUCACAUUACUUACUUACUUCAAUGAGUUUCAUGAGUUAAUAUGUCAUUCUGUUAGAGCAUGUUUAGAGUUGUCCUAAUGAGUGUCAUGCCCUUUGUUAUUGAAUCUUUGAUAUUUUUCAGAAGUGAUUAUAUUAUAAUUUGAAACCAUAAUUACACAAUAUUUAGCAUAUGAUUAGUAUUGCCUCAAGAUUUGGGAUGUUAGAACAACAAAUUCAUUUGGCAUAAGCCAAUUAUUUAUGUUCAUAUUUAAUUUGCCACAUGGCUGAACCCUUAAACAAUCUUUUAAGCAUUUACAUUAGGUUCUAGACAUUAUCAUAUAUUCAUUUGACAAAUAGAGUUAGCCAAUUUUAUUGGAACCAGAUAGAAAAUUCAUUCAAGAUAUGAUUUCAUAGUAGCUUUGUUAAGCCAAUUUUAGUUCAUCACUAUAGAGUAACGUUUUUAAGUCAUAAUGGACAACAUCAUAUUUAAACUUGAGGACUUUAACAUCUUCAUAUCGUCAUAUUAACAGCAAGUAUGCACAACAGACCGUAACAUCUUCAUACAUAACAUUUUUUGACAUAUCUUUAACAUAGUAUAAUUCUUUGAAUUCACAUAAUAAUACUUAGCAUCAAACUAGUCCAAUUGAUAUGCUCAUUCAAUCAUUAUUUAAUCAAAAAUCAUACACAUUAAUAUCAUCCAUUACCACAAACCACAAUACGAUUUCUAACCUAUUCAACAUUGAAAUAUAAACAAGGAUACAAGGGAAAGGAGUUCGACACGAACGACGGGAAAAAUCCUAGUUUUCAAAAUCUUAGAAUCAUUAGACAUAAAUUUCUAUUGGAGAAAGAUGUUUAGGAGAGAAACAAAUUACUUACGUAGAAUUUAAUCUAUGAAGAUCACCUUGAACAAAACCAUGAAGAAAACCUUUGAAUUCGCCUAAGAACUCUUCAACGUUCUACAUUUUACCUGUGGUUUCUCGCCUACUGCCUUAGAAUAAGGAGUGUCAAUAUGUUGAUCGUAAUUUUUAGGUUUAGGAACCGAUAUUGAAUAAUUAAACUUAGAUAUAAUAAGUUAAAUUGGUAAAUUAACCAACAAAUUACCAAAACACCCCUCCUAAGAUUACUAAAAAUAGAAGAACAUAAAACUAGGUAAAAUCUGGAAAUUGGUUGUUGACAAUGGUUCGUUCAACAUUUUGACUUUAUAUAAAUUAAUUAUAUCCUUUAUUAAAUAAAUUUAGGUAACUAGGAUAAGUACUAAGGUACCGCUAAGUCAUUGGAACUAUAAACAGCCGUUUAGGACAAUCGUAGGUUAAGUACUAGGGUGUUUCUUGAAUUGUACUGGGUUAGAAAAAGAAUAUCUGUUUGACCCAUUUCAUUUAAUUAACUAGUUGUCUAAAUUAAUUAAUUAAGUGAUCUAUGGUAAUUAGUAAGUUAACCUUAAGUCGUGAUAACUUUUCUAAUCCUUUGGACCAUCCUAGGUUAGGUACUAUGUUGUCUUUUUCUUGUCUUAACCGAAAUCAAGGAAUUAUUUUCUGAUUUCGAUUUUGCCCCUUUAAAUUAAUUAAUGAAGUUUCUAAAUUAAUUAAUUAAGUAUCCUAGUGUAAUUACUAAAUUACCCUUGAGUCGUUAGAAUUUUAACUAACUCUUUGGACCAUCCUAGAUAAGGUUCUAGGUUGUCCCUUUCUUGUCUUAACCGAAAUCUGAAAAUUUCCUUUUUAUUUUUGAUUUUAGCCAAUUUAAAUUAAUAAAUUAUUUUAUAGAUCAACUAAUUAGGUAACCUGGGCGAAUUAAUAAAGUACCUUUAAGUUGUUAGGACCAUAACUAACCUUUUGGACCAUCCUAGGUUAGGAACUAGGUUGUCGGGUGCACAAAUGGGUCCAAUUCUGUUAGUCAAAGGAUAUUUAGUUAGUUAGGGAAGUAGGUAAGAUUCUAUAAUAUGUAGGGAGGUUAGGCCCCACAUGGAGUAGUCCCUUGUGCACAUUUUCCUCCAUAACUACCCUAAUCGAAUUCGGUUAGGGUGGUCCCCUGCUUUGGCAACUUCGUCACAUUUCUUUAACAUGUGCUUGCACAUGGGUUGGUUUCACUUUCCUAAUUAACUAUUAUUUAUGUCCUAUGUGAUUUUCUACUGAUUCUCCAAAGAUCCUCACUAUUUCCUUGGGCACUUAUUAAUUUACAUGAACAUUUAAAUGGUCAUGUGGAAUGGUAAUUGGUUCGAAAGUUGGAUGCCUAGUACUUUGUGUGAAACUAUUAUGAACGGAUUUUUCUUUUAGCUUAGAGUAUUCAGUGCAAGUAUAUUUAUUAUCAAGCUCAUUAAUGUCAGAAAAUUUGUUAAUACCCUUUACGGCAAUAUUUUCUAAUAUGCCCAAUGAUUUGAUUGUUUCGGUAUUAUAUAGAAAUUGGCUAAUAUCCAUUAGCUAAUUUUCUAUACUAUGCCGAAUAUUUCUCAAUAUUGGGCAUUGUAAUGGCUAUGUAUAUCCAAUACACAUUCUUAAAAAGAUAUUCGGUUCUUCAUUCGACAUGUAAUUUUCCGGAAUGUUACAUUAUCCUCCCCUUAGGAACAGUCGUCCCUGAAUGACACUUAUACAUCAUAUAAAACAAGGCCGGUGAGUUACUUGUCGUACUUAAAUGUUUCUCUUUUGUAAAUGUGUGAUUCGCACUUAUUUGGAUGAUGCAUAUCUUUCAAAGUUUUCUGAAGCUUCAUAUUUGAGAUUGAGGAAUUUGAUUCUCAAUCACACUUAACUUAAGUAACAUCACAAAUUAUGCAACACAGUUAACAUGCCUAUGCCACACAAAAACAGCAACAUGACUUCGUUUUAACUCACAUUGUGCUAUUAUAAGACAUACGGCUAGGGACUUACCACACCAAAUCCACUAAAGCUCUUAAACAUAGAGUUUCUUAAACAUAAAAAAGACUUAGGAAGAGUAUAUCUAACCUCUUAGAUAACAUCUUGUUGGCCUUAAUAUUUGAAACUAAUGACGCCCAACUUAAUUUCAAAGGGACUAGACAGUAUGCCCUCCACUUUCUACAUACCCCUUCUACCUUAACAAUAUGUCUAAUGGGAUUACAAACUAGAAAUGGUUCAUGCAAGAUCUCAAGAAGUAAGUCAAAAAUUAAUUAGACACAAAAGGAUUUACCAUAUAAAAGGUAGAUCCUUGACAUAAUAAUGCAUAAAAAGUAAAGGAGAAGACAAGCAAGUUACCAUUAUCUACAUCCGUGGACUUCUCUUGUUCAUCUCUUCCUUUCAACACAUAGAAUCGGUUUAUUGUUGGUGGUUUGUCUACGUCAUUUGUCCAAGGCUGAGAAUCUUCCUUCGCAUGUUGAAUUUGAACCACACCCUUCUCAUUUUAGCCCAAAUUAUUUGAAAAUGAAGCCUUACUACCCUGUUUCUAAGCCAUAUUCUUUAGUUGGUAUGCAUCGAAUUUAUUUUUCUCCCCUUCAUCAAUAGUCAUACCAGGGUUUUAGGAAUUACCCUGCAUUCACCUCUAUGCAAAGAACCACACUCACCACACGUCUUUUGUCCACGUUAGGCAUUUCCAUUAUGGCCUCUUCCUGGGAAUGCAAGAUUUUGAGUUUGGAGCCUUAGACUGCUUGGCCAUCCUAAGUAUUGUGUGUAUUCUUCUACGCAUUGACACAAUAAUUAUGUCACAUACUUGUAUUGACACAAAUUAUCAAUGAUAUAGAUAGCACAAUAAAGAGUAGAAGAAAGGAGAAUUUCCUAUCAUUGCGUAGUCUCGAAGUCAUAAUUGUGACGUGCUUCACAAUUAUAAGCUAGAAACUACAUAACGUGGUUGUGUUGAGAUUUAGUACCUAGGUACUUUAACCUCAUGCUCAGAUACGAAGUAUGUCACGACCCAAAUUCUAGACUCCGAAUAACAACUGGCAUCAUUGACCUCUCAGAGGUCGCAGACGAGCCUCAUCUUUCAUUCAUCACAUUCAUAUCGUUAAAUUUAGAGGAAAAGUUAAAACUUUUAAAUGUAUGAAGUAUGAAUAGUCUUCAUAUAGUUAUUUCAUUAAUUUAUCAUAUACUAAGAUUAACCUAAAUGUAACAACCUUCUAUUAUAAGAGUCAAUUCGAAAUAGAAUAAGAAUAUAUCAUAAAUACGUUCGCAAAACACAGACUUAUUUAAAAAAGCUUCGAAAUGAAAGUAUGAAAGAAUAGAUAGGGACAACAUCCACUAGAUUUGUCUAAAACUAAUGUUAGACAAAAACUGUAGCAUCCUCGAAAAAAGGAGGACCUGCAAAAUUGUAUGGAGAAACGUUGAUGUCCAAACCGUUGCAAGAUUCAGCAAUCUGUCCCUUAACCUGAAUCUAUAAAAUAGUAAAUAGUAGGGGUUAGUACACCACUUAUAAAAAGUAUGGGUGUAUGAACACAUAAACAUAAGGCUAUGCAUGAUCAAAGAAAGCUCUUCCUAAAUAACAUGUUAUUUCUGGAAAGCCUAGUGAAAGACUUUGCUAAAUAGUUAGAUGUGAAUUGUGGUAUGAUAUGAUAUAUUUCAAUGCAAUCAAAGCACAUAGUUGAUUUUCAAUCUGAUUACAAAACAUUAGUAUCAUCCACAUAAUUUUAGAACAACUCGAGCGAAGGUUUGGGAACUUGACAGUCCAAACCCGAAAGCCCUAUUUUUGACGCUUAAAUUAUUUUUCGAUAUGGGUCUUCUUCAUGUUAUGUAGUUCAAUGAUUUCCUUUAAUCUUAUGUUUCACUUACAAUUGGAAUUGUUAAUCUUAGUUCCAUACAUACAAUGAAUCGAGUUAGCAAUUCAAAAGCAAAGGAGAUUAUUUGGUAACUCUACUUAAGAUUCUUCAUUCUUAUUUCCUUUGUGUAUGAUUAUAUAUAUGCCAAUAUUUAUUGUCUAUGCCCAUUAUUUAUUUAAUUCAUAAUCCAUUGUCAAUUAUUUGCUACCUUACUUACAAGAUAAAUAUUUCAUUCUUAAAUUGGGUAUGAAUGUAUUUAUAAGCGAAUAUUUAUUGGCUAUGACUAUAAAUUUGUUAGUUAUUCUAAUAUACCAUAAUGCAUCUAUUCGUACAUAAAUAUUUUCACAAGCCUUAGAUUAUUAUCAGUCUUUUUCUUCUUUUUGUUGUGUAGUUCACUAUUUCUUUUGAUCCUAUGUUUUACUUACAAGUACAAUGAUUAAUUGCAAUUACCUAGAAUGACCUAAUGUUAUUACUUGAAUCUGAUUUUACCUUCUGUGUGUCUUUCAUAAAUACCUUUGGUAAUUUUCAUUUCAUUGUCUCCCCCACCAAAAAAGGUGAAAACACGGGCGAAAGUGACCCAAAACAUGCAAGCGUAAUUGGGACUUGAACACCGCCGAAUGUGUAUAUUGACUAUAUUGGUUCGAAGACUAGGAGAUAUAAGCAGACGCAAUACCUUAUAUGUUUGGUAGUCUCAUCUCAUGAGAGUUACUUGUACCUCUGCCCUUCCUGAAAGAAAGAAUCACCACUCAUAGCUUGCCUAUCAUUGCUCAUUAAGAAGUACCAUUACAUUCAACUCAUACGUCAUAGAUUCUAGCUUCUAGUAUGAGGACAUCAUAGCUCAAUAGAUGAUUUCUCAUAUCAUAAUAAAUAUUAAGUAUACAUUAAUCUCAAUACUUUCGUUAGAGUGUACAUAAAGACUGGUCUCUUCGUUAGCUUUACACUCUCAUAGGUGAGUACUUUUUGGUAACAUUUACUUAGGCUCAUUUGAGAAUUCUUACAUCUAUUACAUUAGCCUGUAAUUAAGUUUUCACCACAUUCAUGUAUAUUAGCACAUUUGCUAUUCAUAAUUACUCACCCAUUUACGUGAAUGUUCGAUGCUCUUUUAUCUCUAGUAUUGACUCAAGCAUUAUGGAGGCUUUCCUCUAGAUUGAAAUUUACUUACUCUAUUGAUGACUUGUAAUACUUACUUUACAUUGAUGAAAUGUUAAUUUUUCCGACAUAUCAUCAUCUUGUGUUAAUGAGACUAGCUCACACCUACUAACAUCUUCAUACAUGAGUAUUUUUUAAACAUAGCAGCUUAGGCGUAAGUGAGACUUGUCUCACUUACUUUAACUCCCCAUUCUUGUUAUUUACUUACUUAGACCCCUUGAAAUAUGUUAUAACUCACGUUACAUAGUUACACUAGUGUAGUAGAUGCAUAUCAUCGUUUAUGGAUGAUGAGCACUUCAUUCAAUGAGUUUCACGAGUUCCUAUGUCAUUCUUUUAGAGAAUGUUUGUAGUUUUCCCAUUGAGUUACAUGACCUUGGUUAUGGAGUCAUCGAUAUUACUUAAGAAGUGCUCAUGUUAUCAUUUGAUACUUUAAAUACACAAGAUUUAGCACACGAUUAGUAUUGGCUCAUGAUUUUGGAUGUGAGACUAGUAAAUUCAUUCUUAUUAGCAUAGGACAAUUUUAUGUAUGAUCAUAUUUAAUUUGUCACAUGUAUGAACCCUUAACCAAUAUUUUAAUAAUUUACAUAACUUUCCAGCCGUUAGCAUAUAUUUAUUUUGACAAAUAGAGUUAGCAUAUUUUAUUUGAACCAGAUAGACAAUUCAUGCAAGACAUUAUUUCAUAGUGGCUUUGUGAAACCAAUUUUAGUUCAUGAAUAUAGAGUAAAAUUUUUAAAUCGUAAUGGACAUCAUAUAUUAACAUUUUAUGUCUUUAACAUCUUCAUUACAUCAUAUUAACAGCAAGUAUGCACAACAGACCAUAAGAUCGUCAUACAUAACAUUUUCUGACAUAUCUUAAACAUUGUAUCGUUCUUUUAAUUAUCAUAAUAACACAUAGCAACAAAUGAUUCCAAUUAAUAGGUUUAUUCAAGAAUUAUUUAUUCAAAAACCAUACACAUUAAUAUCAGCCAGCAACACAUACAAACAACAUGAUUUCUAACCUAUUCAACAUUGAAAUCAUAACAAGGAUACAAGGGAAAGAAAGUUCUCUUCGAGAAAGAAGUCCAGGAGAGAAACUCAUACCUUAUGUAUAAUUUAAUCUACAAAGAUCACCUUGAAAGAAACCUUGAAGAAAACCUUGAAUUUGCCUAAGAACUCUGAUACGUUCUAUGUUUUUCCUGCGGUUUGUCGCCUACUGCCUUACCGUAGUGAUUCUCAAUGUUGUGAUGGAUAUUUAUACGUUUAGGAACUAAUCUUGAAUUAUAAGACAUAGAUUUAAUUAGUUAAUCUAAUAAAUUAAUUAACCAAUUACCAAAACACCCCUCCUAAGUUGAUUAAAUUUAGAAAUAUCACAUAGUCAAAUAUCGAAAUUGGUUUUUACUAUGGUUUUGGUUAACAUUUUCACUUUAUAUUAACUAAUUUGAUCUUUAAUUUAUUUAAUUUUUGUACCUAGGGUAUGUAAUAAAGUACCCCUAAGUCCUUGGAAGUAUAAUAAAUCCUUUAGAACCAUCCUGGAUUUAGUACUAGGAUGUUUUUUGAAUUAUACUAGUUUAGCAAAAGAAUUUUGGACUGACCCCUUUAAUUUAAUAAAUUUAUUGUAUAAUUUUAUUAAUUAUGUUAACUAGGGUAAUUAAUAAGUUUCCCUUUAGUCGUUAUAACUAAAACUAAUCCAUUGGACCAUCCUAGGUUAGGUACUAGGUUAUCUUUUUCUUGUCUUAACCAAAAUCUUGGAAUUAUUUUGUGAUUUCCAUUUUGCGACUUUAAAUUAAUUAAUUAAGUUGCUAAAUUAACUAAUUAAGUAUCCUAGGGUAAUUACUAAAGUACCCUUAAGUAUUUAGGAUCUUAACUAACUCUUUUGACCAUCCUAGGUUAGAUACUAGGUUGUCCAUUUAUUUUCUUAACCAAAAUCUGAAAAUUUUCUGUUUAUUUUCGUUUUUAGGACACUUAAAUUAAUUACCUAAUUUUCUAAAUUUACUAAUUAGGUAACCUUGGGUAUUACUACAAUACCCAUAAGUUUUUAGGACCAUAAGUCACCUUUUUGACCAUCAUAGGUAAGGUACUACGUUGUGUCUUUAACUAGUACUAGGUUAGUCUAAAUCUGAAUUUUUUCCUAGGUUGUCGGGUGCACUAAUGGGUAAAAUUCGGUUAGUCUUAGGUUAUUUAGUUAUUGAGGGAAGUAGGUUAGAAUCUAGAAUUUGUAUAGAGGUUAGGCCUCACAUGGAGUUGUCCCUUGUGCACGUUUUUGCCCUAACUACCCUAACCGAAUUCGUUUAGGGUGGUCCCUUCCUUUGGCAGCUUCUUCACAUAUCUUGCACAUGGUUUGGUUUCACUUUUUUAACUAAAUAUUAUUUAUGUCCUAUUUGGAUUAUUUUCUUAUUGUCUCAAGGAUCCUCACUAUGUCCUUGGGCACUACAUAAUUUACAUGAUCAUUUCAAAUGGUCAUGUUGAAUGAUUAUAGGCUUGACACUUUGAAUGCCUAGUACUUUGUCUGAAAAUAUUCUGAACAGAUUUUUAUUUUAGCUUAGGGUCUUCAUUGCAGGUAUAUUUCUCAAACAAGCUCAUUAAUGUUUGAAAAUUGGUUAACACACUUAAAGCCAAUAUAAACUAAUAUGCUCAAUGUUUUGAUUAUUUGGGUAUUAUAUAGAAAUUGUCUAAUAUCCAUUAGACAAUUUUCUAUACUAUGCCCAAUAUUUCUCAAUAUUGGGCAUUGGAAUGCCUAUGUAUCCCCAAUAUGCAUUCUUAAAGACCAAUUGGGAUCUUCACUAGAUAUGUAAUUUUCUAGAAUGUUAUAUUCUAUUAUUUCAAAGCGUAUAUUGAUGUCGCCUAUUUAAGGUCAAGAGUUGGAUAAUUCAUCGUAUGACCUUGAGUUGCCUAGAAGCAUAUGCUAUAACCUUAACAUGUGUCACAAGGACACACCGCAAUCCUAUUUCUGAAGCAUCAGAAUAUAUAGGAAAUCCUUCUGUGCCGUUCGUCAAGUACAAUACAUGACUGGAGGUAAUCUUGUCUUUAAAGAAUUGAAAAUCUUCCUCACAUGAUUCAGACCAUUCCAACAUAGCAUUUUUUGGAGUCAAGGACACUAAUGGAUAUGAAAUUUAGGAGAAUUUCUCAACAAAUAUUCUCUAUUAACUGGACAAUCUUUAGAAGCACCGAAUGUCGGUAGGAUUCAAUUGUCUAGACCAUCCCUUGCCUGCUUACGUCUUUUUCGAACACACUCUAACAACUUUACUAGACACAACAUGACCUAUAAAUGCAACCGAUAUCAACCAAAAUCACGCUUGAUAUAUUUCGCAUAAAUUUGAGUAUUGUUGACUACUUGCAAGACUAUUCUCAUGUUUUUCACAUGGUCACCCUAAUUUUUUGAUUAUAUAAAAAUGUCAACAAUUAAGACAAUCAUAAACAAAUCAAGAUACUUUAUAAGAAUUCGAUUCAUAAAGUCAAUGAAUGUCGCCGGGGUAUUCGUUAAUCCAAACGGAAUGACUAGAAAUUAGAAUUUACCAUACCAAGUUUCAAAAGCCAUUUUAGGUAUGUCAACUCCUUUAACUCUAAUCUUAUGUUAUCCCGAUCUCAAGUUGAUAUUCACAAACUUACUCUCAUCUUUGAUUUGAUGAAAAAAAAUCAUCUAUCCUAAGAAAGGUAUACUUGUUCUUAAUGGUGACGUAAUUUGAUUGCCAAUAAUAAAUAUCCCAAGGGACCCAUGUUUCUUCCUCAUAAAUAAUAGCAGGGAACCACAAGAUGACAUGCUUGGUUGAAUAAAACCCUUAGCUGGAUAAUCUUUAGGUUGAUCCUUUAACUCUUUCAACUCAGUCGGGUCUAUCCGGUAAUGAGGGAUUGAAAUAAGUUGUGUAUCUGUCAAUAAAUCUGUCACGACCAACAAGUACAUCCUAGAAGUUAGGGUAAAUCUUGGUUGGCGACACGGUGUACUCGACCUUUAGGAGUUCUUGUACAAGCAUGUUGACUUAAUUACAUAACAUCAUGUAUAAAUGGAGAGAAUUUAAAAACGUUAUUUAAAUGUAAACCAAAUGAUUUUUCAUUAUGGCGGAAACAUCUCCAAUAACAUUAUCUCAAAAACAAUCUAAUUUUGAUAUGACUAAAAUUUGCUGGGACGCAGACCACAUAAAGUCUAAAAUAUAAAGAAAGACAUAAAGGAACAUAGAGGUUUGUCCUUGAAACAAUGAGGAAUCACCACUUCUUAUCUUCUUGGAAACCUUUGAACACUACCCUUGAAAGCAACUCAACGUUCUCAAAAUCCUACACGGACAACAAGUAGGCAAUAUACGAUAGCACGAUAUUUACUAAGUUUUGAAAAUAAAUACCAAUCAAAAGAUAACAGAUUGUCAAUAAUAGUCAUGAUAAUAAAAAAUAAUAUGUCAUAAUAAUAACAUGAAUAUCAUAUCACAAUAAAGCAUCAAAAAUCAUAUAAAAGUUCAUACUUACUAGGUGUGUCUCUCCUAUCUACUUCGUGUCUGGACCCUUGCUAGAAUAUCCAUCUAACUUUCCAUAUCCAUUUGGAGUGAAGACAUAUGAUUAAAGGUUUAGUUGUCAAGCCUUGCUCAACCUAUUCUCUCAUGGAGGGAUGUCCUAGAAAAUAUCUCCAUGUUCAAGUGAAUCUAUCACUUUCAUUCAAUCAUCCAAAAUCCACAGCCAAAACAAUUAUCGUAAGGGUAAUUAUUCAUCAAUUCAUUCUAUCUGCAUUAAUAGGUAGAUUAUAGGAUCUUCUAGCCUUAGCUUUUAUUCUCACAUUCUUCAAUACUAGGUGAAUAUAGACCUUAUUCAUUCUUUUAUGUUCAAUUAAAUCAAGAACAAUAUUAAUCAACCAAGUCUAGUAAAAUUCAUACCUAGGUGAUUCAAUCUUGAUCAAUUAAUAUAGAUUAUAAUUUGGUUAAGAUUGAUCAACCUAGUUCUUUUAUCUAGCCUCUAAUUACCUAUGAUCACCUUUAAAUUCAAUUAAUAUAAUUUACCUUAAAAUCACCAUGUAUAUAAUGAUCAUAUAAACAUCAUUAAAUGCUACCCACUAGAUUGGGAUUAUAAUCAAGCCUUACCCACAGUGCAUUCACAUCCCUCUCUUGGAUGGGGUUCUUUUCAUUCACAAUUGAAGGGAAACUAGGGGAAUUCAUGGAUGGAAGAAUCCAUGAAUUAAUAAGAUUCACAUACCUUAUAUUGGAGCCUUAAUCCUAGCUCUAAAUUGUUAUAAUUCGUCCUAAUAGUUUUUGCAAAUGCGACGAGUGUUGACUGGGAGGCCACUCAGGAUGAGCACAUGGGACUGCCACA
rnacentral:lncRNA from 1 species